GGGUAUUGGUUUCUGAAAUGGUAGCAGAAUUUGUAGUUGCGAGUUACAGAUUGUCAGCAAAUUUGGAUGCCACGAGGCAGCAGAGCACCCAAAAACUUGGUUUGCAUGGAGCAAUACACGUAGCAAGUUGUUUGGAUAGUUGACAAGUAAAUGCCAGCAGUAAUAUUUACUUUCAUUUUCAUUGAUAAUAAUGGGGGGCUUUGUUCAGAUGGCACUCUGCGAGAAGAGGCCUCAACAUCACCAUCCUGCUGCUUGAGCCUAUUAGAGAAAAGAUUUUUAAGAUUUCACAUGCUGAUUUUUUCAGGUGAGGCUUUGCCUUCAUGAGAUGCUUCUUACUGUUGAUAUUCGGAUGAUCCCUCUUCGGGAAAUUCCAAUUCCUCCACCCAACCGGGUCAGGCUUUGCUUCAAACAAUAAAUAUCUGUUUGGGAACAUUAACAUGCAAAUGAAGCUGGUUCCUGCAGACUCUGUUGGCACUGCCACUUCUUAUUAUGUGGGUUUCUGAAAUCAUAGUCUUUAUU